rnacentral:misc_RNA from 1 species
AAGGAAGCUGAAGUCCAUUAUGGACGCCCGAAUGGAAGGCCAAUAUAGUUCAAAGGCAGCAAUACUUACUGCUCAGCUUACUAUAAAAUGCCUAGAAGGAGAACCUAAGAAGAGGCCUUCUAUGAAAGAAGUAGUGGAAGUAUUGGAACAAGUUGAAUUGAUAAAGGAGAAAUCAAAACCUUCCAAAAGCAAAUCCGAGUCUUCAUCUCAUCGAUACAAGCAGUCACCGAGAAGUUAUCCUUCUCCACGUGGUGCAAGCAACCAUGGAUCCGGAGCCGGAUCUGGAAGAUGACAGGUACAACUGGAAAGGCAAACGCGAGCUGCUGAAAAAUGAGUUUGUUUAUACAUUUAAUUGUAUUGAAUUUGUUGUAGUCCAAUUUGGUUUAAUCAUUGUUUUGGAUUACAAAUUUUGUAAAAUUGUCUGUCA